UACGUAUGGAGCAAGCGUUAUCCGGAUUUACUGGGUGUAAAGGGUGCGUAGGUGGCAGUGCAAGUCAGAUGUGAAAGGCCGGGGCUCAACCCCGGAGCUGCAUUUGAAACUGCUCGGCUAGAGUACAGGAGAGGCAGGCGGAAUUCCUAGUGUAGCGGUGAAAUGCGUAGAUAUUAGGAGGAACACCAGUGGCGAAGGCGGCCUGCUGGAGUGUUACUGACACUGAGGCACGAAAGCGUGGGGAGCAAACAGG
rnacentral:rRNA from 1 species